rnacentral:rRNA from 1 species
GACGAACGCUGGCGGCGUGCUUAACACAUGCAAGUCGAACGGAAAGGCCCUGCUUUUGUGGGGUUCUCGAGUGGCGAACGGGUGAGUAACACGUGAGUAACCUGCCCUUGACUUUGGGAUAACUUCAGGAAACUGGGGCUAAUACCGGAUAGGAGCUCCUGCUGCAUGGUGGUGGUUGGAAAGUUUCGGCGGUGGGGGAUGGACUCGCGGCUUAUCAGCUUGUUGGUGGGGUAGUGGCUUACCAAGGCUUUGACGGGUAGCCGGCCUGAGAGGGUGACCGGCCACAUUGGGCCUGAGAUACGGACCAGUCUCCUACGGGAGGCAGCAGUGGGGAAUAUUGCACAAUGGGCGGAAGCCUGAUGAAGCAACGCCGCGUGCGGGAUGACGGCCUUCGGGUUGUAAACCGCUUUAGCCUGUGACGAAGCGUGAGUGACGGUAAUGGGUAAAGAAGCACCGGCUAACUACGUG